rnacentral:rRNA from 1 species
CCUACAGGAGGCAGCAGUGAGGAAUAUUGGUCAAUGGACGCAAGUCUGAACCAGCCAUGCCGCGUGCAGGAAGACGGCUCUAUGAGUUGUAAACUGCUUUUGUACGAGGGUAAAUCCCGAUACGUGUAUCGGGUUGAAAGUAUCGUACGAAUAAGGAUCGGCUAACUCCGUGCCAGCAGCCGCGGUAAUACGGAGGAUUCAAGCGUUAUCCGGAUUUAUUGGGUUUAAAGGGUGCGUAGGCGGUUCGAUAAGUUAGAGGUGAAAUGCCGGGGCUCAACUCCGGCACUGCCUCUGAUACUGUCGGGCUAGAGUGUAGUUGAGGUAGGUGGAAUGUAUGGUGUAGCGGUGAAAUGCAUAGAGAUCAUACAGAACACCGGUGGCGAAGGCAGCUUACUAAACUACGACUGACGUUGAGGCACGAAAGCGUGGGGAGCAAACAGGAUUAGAUACCCGGGUAGUC